UUUAAGUGGCUAUUUAGAUGGAUGGAGCUAGUUUAGGAAGAGAAACUGAAUUUGUUUAAAUCCCAACUGCUCCAGGUUUGUGUGUGCCCUUGGGUGAUUGUGCCCUUUUACGGCUUAUCACCACAGUUCCAGCGACUUCUUGUAGAAAAAAAGGUGCAGAUCCCAGAGGAGCCUGCGAUAUCCACAGGACAUCCCCACUGACAGCGCGAGUCUGCAGUGAAUCUCUAUCAAACGGAGCUUUGACAAAGAUGUGAACCUAGUCUAAGUCACGACAGCACCAACCGAGAGAGAUGGACUCUCCUCCAGGAAAAGGAAACCUAGAGUACAAAAAGGAUGCACAACCCUCUCUGCCUCAGAGAAUUACCGAGACUUAAGAAGCAUCCUACAUAAGUGAUCACACCACAAGUGAGAAGAACAAGAAAAAGGAGGGGAAUAGUAUCUGGUGCUGACGUGACUACGAGGAAAUAGAAUUACCAGUGAGUAAUUACCAGCUUUCCACCCCGUCACGACAGCACCACCAGAGAGAAUACCGGAGAAGUAUUAGGGAGGGACCAACGCCUAAAGAACUUUGCGCCCAAAAGCCAAGGAGGAUAGAUCGUCAGCCCUGAGCCUACAGUGCCGAAAAAAAGUAUGUGGGGAUGACCAAGUAGCCGCCCUACUGAUUUGAGCAAAAGAAGCACCUCUUUUCUCUGCCCAUGAUGAGAUGACUGCUCUAGUAGAGUAGGCUCUCAAGUUGGCUGGAGGAGACAGACCUGCAGAGGAAUAAGCUGC